AAUCCGGGCGACCAGAGGAAAGGCCGGCAGAGGGCGGUAUGGAGAGAUGAUGGGAUUAGAAGCGGGACCUUUAGGCUGGCGCCAGAUAGAGGCGGAGCUGGCCCGAGCAGGCCGCACUGCUAGUUCCAGAGCAGGAUUGGGACUACGAUUCCCAGGAUGCAGGGGGCGGGAGGCGGUCUAGAGGGCGGUCCAGGGACAGCUCGGGGGGCCGCCUAGGGGGUGGUCCAGGGGGCGGUCCGGGGACAGUCUCGCAGGCGGUCUAGAGAGGGCGGUCCCGGGGGGCGAUCUAGGGGGCGGUCUUGGGGGGGGCAGUUCAGGGAGUGGUCUUAGGAUGGUGGUCCGGGGACAGUCUUGGGGCUCAAUCCGGAGGGGCGGGCCGGAGGGUUUGUCCAGGGGCGCGGUCCGGGACCGGGGCGGGUACAAAUUCCUGGGACUGCCUGUGGUGUGGGGUUCCAAUCAAGUGCGUGUUACAAUUUCAGUGUAAAUCCGUUGUGAAGAUGUUUAGACAAUCACCCUUCUUAGGGCCAAAUAGUUUCACUGGAGUCAUAGUCGGCUUUCAGGGUUCCUAGUUGUGGCCCGAGAAAGAUAACAUCCCAAAGAUACACAUAGAGCUAAUUGUAGAAGAUUCGUUUUGUUUUGGGAGUCAGUGGCUCUGGCAAUGAAGCCACCCCGAGUGGGCGCGGGUGUGCACCGACCCUAGUGAGCUAGCUGACUCGGAGAUCCGGGAUUCUGCAGUUACAGAACCUAGUCUAGUUCAAUUAAUCUAGUACAGUGCUGAAACUAAGCCACGCUCUGCAGUUACACUGCCUGGGUUCCAAUCCUGACUGUGCCACUGUUGGUCCUUCAGCAAUUUUACUUGUUGAGGCCGUUUUAAGGCCUGCGAGAUAAUGAUAAUAAUACUUCCUAGGGUGGUUAUAAGAUAAAUGAGUUAAUAUCGUCCAAGGGAGGGUUAGACGAGGGCCUGGAGCGUAUGAGUACUCAGUACAAAUUAGCCAAAUACCGAUUAUUAUUUCAUUUUCAUAGGCUCUGGGAGGUAAGUGCUACAUGGUGUUAAGUAUGAGUCAAACGGCCUACAAUCAGGUAUCAGGUCACCAUUACUUGGAGAGGAUGUUUGAUCUAAGCCUUAUUUAUAAAUUGACAAACAUAAAACAUUAGUUACUGCUACAUGGUAAGAACUCAGUAUGUGUUAGCUAUUAGUAUUAACUAUGUUAUUAAUUAUUGUAUUAACUAUAUUAUUUUCACAGAUGAAACAAGGAGGGCUCAGAGAGGUGAAAUGACUUAUCUAAAGUUAUGCAGUUAGGGAAUAUAAGAACAAGAGAUAUCUUAACUCUGGUUUUAAGUCUGUAGAUCUAUUCUCUGCAAUGUCGUCCAAGCUCUUGAUACUCAUUAAAGUGUGGUCUGCAUACCAGCAGCAUAAUAUCCCCUGGGAGCUUGUUGGAAAUGCAGAACGUCAGGCCUCACUCUAGAUGUAAUUUAUCAGAACCUUUAUUUUAAUAAGAUCUGUAGGUGACUAGGAUGUACAUUUGAGUAUCAGAGGCACUGUUGAUUGCGUGGUUUACAGGGUUUAUCUUCCUUUCACUGGGGGCCAGGUUUAUCCUAGAGGGGGUUAUGCUGGAGAAUUAACCAAUGAAAUUAACUUAAUAGCAAUUAGCAAAUAGACUCAGUUUAGUUUCAGCAUUGUGCUAGCCUUUCUCAUCCAGAAGCAUUUUAGAAUUUGCUGUUUUUUUUUUCCCCUUGAACCUACUUUAACAUUCAGCAUCAAGGCUUUAACAUCAGUCAUCCCAUGUAGCCAAGGCUAGGUCAAAGACCAUAUUAGCUAACUGCCUUGAGCCUUAAACCUUUGGGAUUUGCCAUAGGAGAGAGUUGAGUGUAUUGAUAUGACUGCUAUGGGCUUGGCUUGGUUUCUCAUUCAUUCAUUCACUUGACAAACAUUUAAUUGAAUGGCUACCAUGUGGCAGACACUAGGUGCAAAGAUAACUGAGACCUUAUGGAAUACUGGGGAAGAAAGGUAAAAAGAAAUUGACUAUAUAAUGUAACGUCAUUGGACCUUUAAUAGGAAGUACCAGUUAUGUAGGAGUUAGCUUCUCUGUCAAUCUUCUGAAUUGGGAAAAAAAGAGCAUAGGUUGACAAGUGUUAAAUGGUAUGAUCUGGAUCAUACAGGUCAGCUCUUAAUUGAACUCUGUUUUAUGUUCAGUGUUUUUUUUUUUUUUUUUUUUUUAGACAGGGUCUCACUUUGUCACCCAGGCCGGAGUGCAGUGGCACGAUCUUGGCUCACUGCAGCCUCAACCUCCUGGGUUCAAGUGGACCUCCUGCCUCAGCCCCCUAAGUAGCUGGGACUACAGGCACGUGCCACUACACCUGGCUCUUUGUGUGCAUGUGUGUGUGUGUAUUUUUUGUAGAGCCAGGUUUUGCCAUGUAACCCAGGCUGGUCUCAAACUCCUGAGCUCAAGUGAUCCACCUACCUUGGCCUUUCAAAGUGGUAGGAUUACAGGCGUGAACGACCUUGCCCAGCCAUAUUCAGUGGUUUUUUAUAGUCUAAACUGAUUUUAAUUUCCUUGAAGACUAGAGACUGAUUUUUACUUCCACAUAGUGCUGGGCACAUAUUAGGCAUUCAACAAAAUGAUUGUUUAAAAGCAUAAACACUAUAGGGUUAUCUAAUUAAAGGUUAUUACUAUUGAUUGUGUUAGAUUCAAGGUGAGCAAAAACAGUAAGAUUGGGAUUUCGGGCUUAAAAAAAAUCUUACUGAGGUAAGUGGGUAAGUUGUGGUCUCCAGGUUGCAUUUGUAUCAUUCUUAUUUUAGGCAAGACUAUACAGUGCCCAGAGAAAGCAGGCUCUGGCCAGGCGUGGUGGCUCACACCUGUAAUCUCAGAACACUGGGAGGCCAAGGCGGGAAGAUCCCUUGAGACCAGGAGUUUGAGACCAGCGUGAAUAAGAUGGGUGAAAAUGCUGUGAUACCUUUCCUCAGCCCUCAAAAGGGUCAUGGCUGCCGGGAGUGGUGGCUCAUGCCUAUAAUCCCAGCACUUUGGGAGGCCGAGGUGGGCAGAUCACCUGAGGUCAGG
rnacentral:lncRNA from 1 species